UACGUAGGCAGCGAGCGUUGUUCGGAGUUACUGGGCGUAAAGGGUGCGUAGGCGGUUGUUUAAGUUUGGUGUGAAAUCUCCCGGCUCAACUGGGAGGGUGGUCGCGAGACGGCAGGGCUUGAGGCUCGGUGAGGGGCGUGGAAUUCCGGGUGGAGCGGUGAAAUGCGUAGAGAUCCGGAGGAACACCGACGGCGUAGGCAGCGCCCUAGACGAGACCUGACGCUCAGGCACGAAAGCGCGGGGAGCGAACAGG
rnacentral:rRNA from 1 species